rnacentral:rRNA from 1 species
GAUGAACGCUGGCGGCGUGCCUAACACAUGCAAGUCGAACGGAGAUUACGGACGGAAGUUUUCGGAUGGAAGCCUGUAAUUCUUAGUGGCGGACGGGUGAGUAACGCGUGGGCAACCUGCCCUAUACAGGGGGAUAGCAGCUGGAAACGGCUGGUAAGACCGCAUAAGUCGGUUAAAUCGCAUGAUUUGAUCGGGAAAUGAGCAAUCAGGUAUAGGAUGGGCCCGCGUCCGAUUAGUCAGUUGGCAGGGUAAAAGCCUACCAAAGCGACGAUCGGUAGCCGGACUGAGAGGUCGGACGGCCACAUUGGGACUGAGACACGGCCCAAACUCCUACGGGAGGCAGCAGUGGGGGAUAUUGCACAAUGGAGGAAACUCUGAUGCAGCGACGCCGCGUGAGUGAAGAAGUAUUUCGGUAUGUAAAGCUCUAUCAGCAGGGAAGAUGAUGACGGUACCUGACUAAGAAGCCCCGGCUAACUACGUG